CAAGAAAAACGGCCUGUUGAUUCCAAUUUAUUUUGGGGUAGGAAAGUCCGGACACCACAGAGCAGCAAAGCGGGUAACACCCGUCGGUCGCAAGAUCAGGACAAGUGCAACAGAAAGUAUGUAUAUUAAUUUAUAGUGAAACCAGGUAAACUCUUUGCGGUGCAAUGUUAAGUAUAUCGGAUUUCCCGGUUCGCCGGGAUAGGAGUGGCUCGCUCCAAAAACCGAGGGGUAAACAGCUAAAGUUUUGCAGCAAUGUAAAGCGCAGAUAAAUAACAGGCACUUCGCUUCGGCGAGGGUACAGAAUCCGGCUUACAGUUUUUCUUGUGGU
rnacentral:RNase_P_RNA from 2 species